AUGGAUUCUCUUCCGACUGCCUCCACCCCCCAUGACACAGACGAUGCCGAGGUGGGAUCCCAAGAAGGGACCCACCAGGAGGAGGAGGCCCUGGGGGUGUCGCAGGACAACCUCCCGGACUUUGCUCCCAUAGUGGCUCCGGAGUCCGGCGGGCGGCCCCUUCGUAAGAAGGGCAAGACCAUGGCACCGGCAGCCUCCGUCCAACCGGAGGCGCCGGAUAGCUUGCUGGAGGCGCUCAAUAGCGCCUCCAUCAAAGAGGAACACCACACUGUUAUGAGUGCGGUGAUUCAGAAGGUGCAGCUUGCCAAGAGCGGGCUGACCGAAGCCUGCAGCAGCCUUCUAACAGGCUUUGAGGUAAGCAUUUCAAUAUGUAUAAAAUGGUACCGCAUAGACAGUAGCCCCUGA
rnacentral:rRNA from 1 species